AAGCAAUAAUAUAGCCCUAAAGAAAUAUAGACCUAGCCUAGGAAGAAGUUUCUAAGACCAUCCUUAUCAAUGAACUCUUACAUAAAGUUCUAAACAAUUUUGAUAUACAAAAUAAUGUUUAAACAUUAGAAUGGCUCUUACAAAAAAAGAGAAUAAAGAAAAAAAAAACUUAGCUAAGAGCCAUUUUUCAUUUCUUAAGCACACUUUUUU
rnacentral:sRNA from 1 species